UACGUAGGGUGCGAGCGUUGUCCGGAAUUAUUGGGCGUAAAGGGCUCGUAGGCGGUCUGUUGCGUCAGGAGUGAAAACUCGGGGCUUAACCCCGAGCCUGCUUCUGAUACGGGCAGACUAGAGGUAUGCAGGGGAGAACGGAAUUCCUGGUGUAGCGGUGAAAUGCGUAGAUAUUGGAAAGAACACCGAUGGCGAAGGCACUCUACUGGGCUAUUACUGACACUCAGAGACGAAAGCUAGGGGAGCAAAUGGG
rnacentral:rRNA from 1 species